AUUGAACGCUGGCGGAAUGCUUUACACAUGCAAGUCGAACGGCAGCACGGGAGCUUGCUCCUGGUGGCGAGUGGCGAAUGGGUGAGUAAUAUAUCGGAACGUAUCCAAUAAUGGGGGCUAACGAGUUGAAAGAUUAGCUAAUACCGCAUACGCCCUGAGGGGGAAAGCUGGGGAUCUUCGGACCUAGCGUUAAUGGUGAGGACGGUAUCUGAUUAGCUAGUAGGUGAGGUAAACGCUCACCUAGGCGACGAUCAGUAGCUGGUCUGAGAGGACGACCAGCCACACUGGAACUGAGACACGGUCCAGACUCCUACGGGAGGCAGCAGUGGGGAAUGUUUGACAAUGGGGCAACCCUGAUCCAGCCAUUCCGCGUGAGUGAAGAAGGCCUUCGGGUUGUAAAGCUCUUUCGCAAGGGAAGAAAACUUAACCUCUAACAUAGGUUGAGGCUGACGGUACCUUGAUAAGAAGCACCGGCUAACUACGUGCCAGCCGCCGCCGUAA
rnacentral:rRNA from 1 species